UACGUAGGUGGCAAGCGUUGUCCGGAUUUAUUGGGUUUAAAGGGUGCGUAGGCGGUCUUAUAAGUCAGUGCUGAAAUAUCCCGGCUUAACCGGGAGGGUGGCAUUGAUACUGCAGGACUUGAGUAUAGUCGAGGUAGGCGGAAUUGACGGUGUAGCGGUGAAAUGCUUAGAUAUCGUCAAGAACACCGAUAGUGUAGACAGUUUACUAGGCUAUAACUGACGCUGAGGCACGAAAGUGUGGGGAUCAAACAGG
rnacentral:rRNA from 1 species